UUGUCUUACAUUUAGGUCUUUCAUCCAUUUUGAGUUUAUUUUUGUGUGUGGUGUUAGGAAGUGUUCUAGUUUCACUCUUUUACAUGGAGUUGACCAGUUUUCCCAGCACCCCUCGCUGAAGAGAGAAACGUGAAGAUGUAGAAACAAAGACUAGCUAUUGGGCUGGGGAACUGGUAACAACUUAGAUUAUAAUUCAACCACAUAGCAGAAUCACUGAACUCCUAUUUCUCUGAAAUACAUGAAGGCAUGACACACGUUGCUAAGUUAUUUUUACAAGAAGCAGACCAGCUCCAAAUGAAAACUGCUGACCAUGAGAACAUAGACUCUAGACUGGUUGAAACCGGAAAAUUAAUGAUGCUUGAAAGGUCACCUUGAUGCCAACCAAUCCAAAAAUGUCCAUGAGUUGGUGACACAUUGCUCCUUGAACACUAUAAAACUCCUCACUAUCCCACUCCCGGGUGGGUCACACAGUCUUGAGUGCAUUAGCCCUCUGUGGUCCCCUUUGCCUGGCAGCACAAUAAAAAUUACUCUUUUCUACUUCAGGCAAAACCUGACUCUGUGUUUCUAUUCAGCAACAGAGAACACAGGCAGAGUUUCGGUAACAUUAUCAAUAUUAACUUCUUUUCAUUUCUAUGUUUCAUCUUUUUCAGAUACAAGCAUAACCUAGAAUGUCCACUGCUUCUUUCAGGAAAUGUAUUUUAAAGAAAAUACAUUCUCUCAGCAUUUAAGUGCAGUCAAAUCUAGUUUUGUCUAUCACUCGACAAAAGUGAAUAAAAGCAGCCCUCACCACAUCACUCCUAUCUUUAUUGCUGUACCCAGUGACCUUGCUUCAGUAAAUAACUCCCAUGUCCUCUUGAGCACCAUUUCCUUUUCUUCCUUACUAAAGAAUAGUAGAUUUACAAAAUUAACUUCGAAUGUACAAUAUAGCAGUUCAAAAAUUUUAUACUGUGUAUAUAUAGUUAUAGAUGCAAAGAACAAAUACGUGUUUGCCAGGAAGGAGUGGGGGGAGCAGAGGGAAAGAAAUAGGUGAGGAAGAGUGAGAACCAAAACCUCCAGUUACAAAAUAAAUGAGUUAUAAGUAUCAAACGUGCAGUGCAGGGAAUAUAGUCAAUAACUGUGUAAUAUAUUUGCAAGCUGAUGUGUUGUAACUGGACUUAAUCAUGGUGAUUAGUUUGAAAUCCAUUGUCUUGCAAUUAAAGUAUUAUUCAUGAAAUAGCUUCAUUGUCUUUUUAAACAUUCAUACAAAGCCCAAUCUUCUGUGUGUGUUUGUGGAAAGUGGCCUUCUGACUAAAAAUGUGUGGUUCACUGUGUGAAUCUUUCACUAUCCAAAUUAGUUUAGCUUGACAUUUUCAGUUACUCAGGAAGUUCUGGCCUCCAACGGUUGACUGUAGUCUUAGUUCUCUAAUAAAAGCUGGAGGUAAAAUGCCUGAUAUAAAUAUGGUAGAGAAAGAUGUUUUCCAACUGUGUGAAUUGCAAAACGAGGUAAUGAAGGGGAACUAUUAAGAGAAAGAGAUAUGGUAACCUUUUUUAAGCUCAACAUUCAGAUCAUGGCAUCCGGUCUCAUCACUUCAUG